CACGUAGGGGACGAGCGUUGUCCGGAUUCAUUGGGCGUAAAGGGUGCGUAGGUGGCGCUGUAAGUCGGGUGUGAAAUUUCGGAGCUUAACUCCGAAACUGCAUUCGAUACUGCGGUGCUUGAGGACUGGAGAGGAGACUGGAAUUCAUGGUGUAGCAGUGAAAUGCGUAGAGAUCAUGAGGAAGACCAGUGGCGAAGGCGGGUCUCUGGACAGUUCCUGACACUGAGGCACGAAGGCCAGGGGAGCAAACGGG
rnacentral:rRNA from 1 species